GCAGACACACUCUGUUCUUUGCUGUGCGAUCCAGCCUUGGACUUUUUCUGUCUGCUACAUUAUUCUGCGGAACAUGACAAAUGACUGCCUUUUUAUAAUAAAAAAUAGUGUUGGUUUGUUCUGCCACAUUUUG